UGGGGAAUAUUGCACAAUGGAGGAAACUCUGAUGCAGCAACGCCGCGUGGAGGAUGACACAUUUCGGUGCGUAAACUCCUUUUAUGUGAGAAGAUAAUGACGGUAUCACAUGAAUAAGCACCGGCUAACUCCGUGCCAGCAGCCGCGGUAAUACGGAGGGUGCAAGCGUUACUCGGAAUCACUGGGCGUAAAGCGCGCGCAGGCGGCCUUUCAAGUUGGAUGUGAAAUCCUAUGGCUCAACCAUAGAACUGCAUCCAAAACUGUUAGGCUAGAGUCUGGGAGGGGAAGAUGGAAUUAGUUGUGUAGGGGUAAAAUCCGUAGAGAUAACUAGGAAUACCAAAAGCGAAGGCGAUCUUCUGGAACAGUACUGACGCUGAGGCGCGAAAGCGUGGGGAGCAAACAGGAUUAGAUACCCCCGUAGUCCCUGAGCGGGCUGGCAAGGCGCAU
rnacentral:rRNA from 1 species